GAUGAAGAACGUAGCGAAAUGCGAUACUUGGUGUGAAUUGCAGAAUCCCGUGAACCAUCGAGUCUUUGAACGCAAGUUGCGCCUCAAGCCAUUAGGUUGAGGGCACGUCUGCCUGGGCGUCACAUAUCGUUGCCUGAUGCCAGUUUCCUCGUGAUGGGUGACUGUGCAGGGCGAAUGAUGGCUUCCCGUGAGCAUUGUUGCCUCAUGGUUGGUUGAAAAUUGAGUCCUUGGUAGGGAGCGCCGUGAUAGAUGGUGGUUGAGUGACGAACGAGACCCAAUCAUGUGAGACCCCUACCGAAUUUGGCCUUCAUGACCCACAUGCGUCUUUGGAACGCUCAUGACGAGACCUCAGGUCAGGGGGGGCUACCCGCUGAGUUUAAGCAUAUCAAUAAGCGGAGGA
rnacentral:misc_RNA from 1 species